CCACACACUCACACCACCCUAACCUCUCCCCACUCCCACCACUCACCCCCUGCUUUAUGAGGAACGCCCCCCUCACAGCGCAAUGCCCACACAACCUCACAACGGGACCUGCCCUCCCACCUCAACUCGGGGCUGCCGACCAGCCCCCUGCAGCUCUCCCCGUACCCCUCCCCCACCACAAGCCUCCCCUGGCAUCCUCGCCGCAUUCUGAGGACAUGGUUACCCCCGUACCCUGGGAUGCACCCCCGCUACCACCCACAGCCCCGCUUCGAGGAGGAGGAGGGGUGCUCUGUCAGCUACUAGACCCCCCCAGCGAUGACAGCUUCAGUGUCACCAGCUUGUAGCUGCAGGUCCAUUAAAUCUCAACUUUUUUCAGAUUUGUAAACUUUUUCUAAGGAGAGACUUUCAGAGACAAGAUGAUGGAUCAGAAUUUAUCUGCUAACUCUGGACAGUAGAUCUUCAGUUCUCCAGCUAUGACAAUCAAAAGCCAACUGCAACACACACACAAAGGCGCACACACAGACACAGCUGGAAAGAGGGAGUGGCCUAGAGAAGCUGUGGGAGGAGUGACAGACGCUGAGGAACAGAGAGGCGGGGCCUAAUGGAAAAGUUCCACCCCCAACGCUAAACACAUUAAUCCCCUAUCCCCGAAACCAUACACCCUUCGCUCUGUGUGUGCUAUAUGAGAGAAGUGGACUACAGCAUCAGCUCUUGAAUUACCAGCAUCUGUACAUAGACUCCAACUCCAGCCACAGACCCAUAACCUCACCACAACAUUGAAACAGUUAAGACAACGUUACUAAUGUUCCAUCAGUGUUUUCUAACGUUCAGGCUUUUAGCCAGGACCACAGACCCACAACCACACCCAGGGGCGGACUGGCAAUCUGACAUUUUAGGCAAAUUCCAGAUGGGCUGGUCCAUUUUAAGCCCAGUGGGCCUAUCUAACUUUUUUCACGCAAAAAGAUCACUAUUUGGCUAAUAAUGGGUGCCUCAAGGGAAAAAAAGGGGCCAGUGUGUGGGCCUUGAGGAAAGAAAUGGGCCUGUGUUAGAAAUGCCAGGGCCAAUUUCUGGUCCAAGUCCACCCCUGACCACAGCUGUGCUAAAACAGCUCUACACAACGUUCCAUCAUCGUUUCUCUAAACCUCUGCCAUAGUCUCUGCUCUGAUGGAAGGACUCCAGCAUGGAGACUCUACAUCCUGUGUUUCACUGUUUUUACUAGGAGGGAAGGAGACCCGACACACUCUGACCCCAAAGAGACUGACGUGUGUUUAUUUGUGUGUGUGUAACCACGCGGAUGGACUUCUGUAUGUAUGUAUGUGUGUGUUUGGGGUCUAAAGGGGUAGAGCUCUACAUCUGAAAUGGUGGAUGGAUGAACAGGGCUUCUCUUCCUUCUUUUACUCUCCUUUUUUCCGUGGUCUUGUGUUGUUUGGUGGUUUUUGUGAUGAACAGUUGUAUAUGUCUGUUAAUGUCAUGAUGUAUCUACAGUGCCAAUAUUUAAAUACACUCUGAUCUGUCCAUUGGUAAA